CAGGGAGACAACAAAAUGUUUAAUAUUAUUUUGUCACCUUAGGUCGAUCGGUAUCUCACGUUUUUAAUUUAUUAAGAAUUUCAUUUCCUAAGUUUUUCUAGGUCACACCCAUUAUUUUUCCUGGGCCAUUAGCUCAGGUGGUUAGAGCGCACCCCUGAUAAGGGUGAGGUCCCUGGUUCAAGUCCAGGAUGGCCCAUAUCUCUAUGUUGGGGGUAUAGCUCAGUUGGUAGAGCGCCUGCUUUGCAAGCAGGAUGUCAGCGGUUCGAGUCCGCUUACCUCCACUGAUUACCACCUCUUCCAUACCGGUAGAAUGGAAAUGUUUUGAGUCGUGAUCAAAUUCUGAAAGAAUCUAGCUUCCUAAUGAAAUCAUUAAGAUGCUGGACUCAUUGAAUUAAUUUCAUUGUUUUCAGAGAACCUUGACAACUGCAUAGAUUAUUUUGAAAGACAAUAAGCAUCUUUAAUGAUGCAGAUUUAUUAUUUGUGCGAAUGCAUUAAUAACAAUUCUAUUAAGCUGAUGCUUCAAUUUUUGAAGUUAUU
rnacentral:tRNA from 1 species